GUUGGUGAGGUAAUGGCUCACCAAGGCAACGACGGGUAGCCGGCCUGAGAGGGCGACCGGCCACACUGGGACUGAGACACGGCCCAGACUCCUACGGGAGGCAGCAGUGGGGAAUAUUGGGCAAUGGAGGAAACUCUGACCCAGCGACGCCGCGUGCGGGAUGAAGGCCUUCGGGUUGUAAACCGCUUUCAGUAGGGAAGAAGCGAAAGUGACGGUACCUACAAAAGAAGCACCGGCUAACUAUGUGCCAGCAGCCGCGGUAAUACAUAGGGUGCAAGCGUUGUCCGGAAUUAUUGGGCGUAAAGAGCUCGUAGGUCGUUUGUUACGUCGGAUGUGAAAACCUGAGGCUCAACCUCAGGCCUGCAUUCGAUACGGGCAAACUAGAGUUUGGUAGGGGAGACUGGAAUUC
rnacentral:rRNA from 1 species